rnacentral:rRNA from 1 species
GAUGAACGCUGGCGGCGUGCCUAAUACAUGCAAGUCGAGCGAACAGACGAGGAGCUUGCUCCUCUGACGUUAGCGGCGGACGGGUGAGUAACACGUGGAUAACCUACCUAUAAGACUGGGAUAACUUCGGGAAACCGGAGAUAAUACCGGAUAAUAUAUUGAACCGCAUGGUUCAAUAGUGAAAGACGGUUUUGCUGUCACUUAUAGAUGGAUCCGCGCCGCAUUAGCUAGUUGGUAAGGUAACGGCUUACCAAGGCAACGAUGCGUAGCCGACCUGAGAGGGUGAUCGGCCACACUGGAACUGAGACACGGUCCAGACUCCUACGGGAGGCAGCAGUAGGGAAUCUUCCGCAAUGGGCGAAAGCUUGACGGAGCAACGCCGCGUGAGUGAUGAAGGUCUUCGGAUCGUAAAACUCUUUUAUUAGGGAAGAACAAAUGUGUAAGUAACUAUGCACGUCUUGACGGUACCUAAUCAGAAAGCCACGGCUAACUACGUG